rnacentral:ncRNA from 1 species
CCAGUGCAUCUUUCUGAUGUGCGGUUAAACGGGAAACACGGAGCCGUCUGUAAUGGCCAACGUGUGCUGCCCCCGCAACGGUAAGCAGGUGUUCCGAAAGGAAUCCGUCAUCCAUCUUGUACCACUGUGCCUGAGAUGCAUGGGAAGGUCUGAUGACGGUCUCGAGUGAUCGAAAAGCCUGUAGCCCGGAUACCGGCCGGAAUG